rnacentral:rRNA from 2 species
GGACCAAGGAGUCUAGCAUGUGCGCGAGUCAUUGGGACUCUAACGAAACCUAAAGGCGUAAUGAAAGUGAAGGCUCGCCUAGCGCGGGCCGAGGGAGGAUGGGUGUCCCUUCGGGGACGCCUCGCACUCCCAGGGCGUCUCGUUCUCAUCGCGAGAAGAGGCGCACCAAGAGCGUACACGCUGGGACCCGAAAGAUGGUGAACUAUGCCUGGUCAGGACGAAGUCAGGGGAAACCCUGAUGGAGGUCCGUAGCGAUUCUGACGUGCAAAUCGAUCGUCGGAACUGGGUAUAGGGGCGAAAGACUAAUCGAACCAUCUAGUAGCUGGUUCCCUCCGAAGUUUCCCUCAGGAUAGCUGGCGCUCGCUUCUCGCGAGUCUCAUUCGGUAAAGCGAAUGAUUAGAGGCAUUGGGGUCGAAACGGCCUCAACCUAUUCUCAAACUUUAAAUGGGUGAGAUCUCCGGCUUGCUUGAACUGUGAAGCCGCGAGAUAUCGGAUCAGAGUGCCAAGUGGGCCACUUUUGGUAAGCAGAACUGGCGCUGUGGGAUGAACCAAACGCCGAGUUAAAGCGCCUAAAUCGACGCUUAUGGGAUACCAUGAAAGGCGUUGGUAACUUAAGACAGCAGGACGGUGGCCAUGGAAGUCGGA